rnacentral:rRNA from 1 species
AUUGAACGCUGGCGGCAGGCCUAACACAUGCAAGUCGAGCGGAUGAAGGGAGCUUGCUCCUGGAUUCAGCGGCGGACGGGUGAGUAAUGCCUAGGAAUCUGCCUGGUAGUGGGGGAUAACGUCCGGAAACGGGCGCUAAUACCGCAUACGUCCUGAGGGAGAAAGUGGGGGAUCUUCGGACCUCACGCUAUCAGAUGAGCCUAGGUCGGAUUAGCUAGUUGGUGGGGUAAAGGCCUACCAAGGCGACGAUCCGUAACUGGUCUGAGAGGAUGAUCAGUCACACUGGAACUGAGACACGGUCCAGACUCCUACGGGAGGCAGCAGUGGGGAAUAUUGGACGAUGGGCGAAAGCCUGAUCCAGCCAUGCCGCGUGUGUGAAGAAGGUCUUCGGAUUGUAAAGCAAUUUAAGUUGGGAGGAAGGGCAGUAAGUUAAUACCUUGCUGUUUUGACGUUACCAACAGAAUAAGCACCGGCUAACUUCGUG